CCGAAUUUGAAGUCAAUUUAGGAUACUUUCCUUUAAUAAACGAAACUGUGACUCCUUCACAAUGUCAGAUUACCUUGUGGGAGUAGCUGGACCAAACUCUAUUGGUAUUUCAAGUUUGAAAUCCCUGUUUGACCAGACUAACAUUUCAGAUGAGGUAAUAGAUGGCCUAAUCUAUUUGCAGUGUGAGAAUUUCCCUCACAUUUAUCCAAUACCAAGCCAAAUCACUGGAAAAAUUUUGGAUGGGUCCACAAGAGCACAAAGUGCAUACUUUUUGAAGAAAAACAUCUUUCAGAUGUAUGAGAAAUUGAUUGGAGCCUGUCUGGAAAACGGCAGCCACUGGACCUUGUUUGCAAGUUGCACAGAUUUUGCACUCUCUCUAGUGCAUGAUACUUUUCAGUGUCCCUCAUUAGGAAAGCUCAAGGCCCAAGCCUACCAUAUCCAUCUUUUUACAAAACAGUUUUGUGACAUACCCAAGAGGACCAUAGUCUAUAUGAAUUCAUUUGGCGAGUCGGAGGUCAGAAAAAGUGCGGUGUUGAAAAACUGGAGCUCAUUUGCUUCAGCAAGAGGCUGCACUGGAGAGUGGACCUUGUCACAUGUGAGCCACCCACAUCAACAGGAUGGGAACUCAUGUGGAGUGCAUGUCGUCAUGGUACUGAAAACUAUAGCUUUUACCUAUAUAAGUAAUGUUUACAUUUUUGCCUAUUCAGUUUUUAAAGCCUUAGAGGCAGGAUGGUAAAAUCUCAAAUUUUUUUGUAGAUUGAACCAUUUCAGCAGUAAUGCUUUGCUUUGGUUGCUGUUUUUUUUUUUUUUUUCUCGGGGGGGGGGGGGGGGGGGGGGUUAAAAACAAACAAACAUUUCUUUGUUAAUCUAAUUCUUUUUGUUCUUUUUUUUUUUUUCUUCUUCGUCAAU
ensembl:lncRNA